rnacentral:tRNA from 6 species
CGGAGAGUAGCUCAGCCUGGUAGAGCACCACGUUCGGGACGUGGGGGCCGGAGGUUCGAAUCCUCUCUCUCCGACCA